AGACAGCUUCUCUCAGCAGGUGAAGAACCUGAUUUUCCGGAAAUUGAGCCAAGAGUAAAGCCUGAGCCCUGGGUUUGGCUCACAAUGGUGGCAAGAGAAAGAGGAUGAGCGGUGGCCCAAGGGACGAAAGCAGUCAAGAGGCCCUGCCCAGUGGAGUAGAGCGUGGAGCAGGUGUUUGAGGCUGGCACACCCAGGGCAGGUUCGCGAGUCUCUAAGCCCAAGUUUCCUGGCCUCUAAAAGGGAUUCGGUGCUAACUGCCUUGCAGGGGAGCCCCGUGUGGAAGCUUUGCGGGAUGGACACCCCUCUCUCAAGUUUAGAUAUUAGGCAAACGAGAAGGCCCUGAGUAAUGGAAACCAAGGCACAGAGAAGGGGUGGCAUUAGGGUCACAGCAUGAACAAGACUGGGAAAGAGCGUGGGGCUGCCUCAUCCUGCUUUCCCACAGGAAGAAAUCAAGGCAGCAAGACUUUGAGGCCCUCAAUCACAGGAGACCACAGGAGACUGGCUGGUUUGGUCCCAUCUGUCUGGGCCUUGAUUAGGAUAACUGUCCUUGCUCCCUGGUUUCAGGACCAUCAGUCUCCGUACCCCAGCCCAGAGGGCGCCUGGAGUGCUGCGGGCUGAGACGAGCCGGACGUCCUUGGGAGGCUCGUUCUUCAUGCUGCGCAGAACCACUCGGCUCGGCAUCGAGGCCUGUGUGAAGGCCCAGGCCCAGGGCCCGCCCUUAGGCCUCCGUCCCAGAUGGAAUUAAUGGAAUUGGAUUGCGUCUUUGUCAUCUUGUGCUCACAGACCCUAGCGGGCUUGUGACAAGAAAGAAUUAGGGCAUAGCUCAAACAGAAAAGUGGAAAAAGAAACGGGCGAAAGCCCACAGGGAGGACUCUCUAUUUCCUUAUCUGUCUGCCGUCCCAAAUAGCUCUGCUCUCCUCCCCAAUUUGUGUUUAUGUGUCACGUUUCUUUCUCUUGCAGCAGAUGCCACUGGGCUGACUGUCCUAAACUGGGUCAGAGAGUGGUGGUGAAUUGACACAGUCCCUCCGGCGGUAUCUUCCUGUGUCCUCACUCCCCCUCCAGUCCCCCAGCCUGCUUUCCGUGGCGUCUGAGGGUGGUCCCUGUCCCCAGAACCACAGGGACUCAGGGAGUUUCCUGCCACUCCAGGACCUCAGCGCUCGUAGCUGGGAGACAGGAAGGCAUCCUUGACUGUCCUCAACCCUUUUGCUUCUCCAGGGUCCCCAGCUUCUCGUUUCAUCUCACUAAGCACUGAUAAAUGAUUUCAGAGAACUCCAACCCACUUGCCACAGCCUGGUGUAGUGUGGCAGCAAUGCCGCACUGGGUGGAGAAUCAAAUCAGCCAUGUUUCAAACUCCAUGGAACAGAAACCAAAGAAAUCAGUGGAUUGCCCAACGUAACGCAGUAAAGGGAAGAGUCCAGGGUCACACUCCCACUGACCAUUCCUACUCCAGUGCACACUGUAGUCUACCUUUUGCUGCUUCAUUUAAAGCAUGCACUACUGAGAGUCUAGCUCUUUUCUUGAUGUCCUCUGUUAAGAAUCUAGGUCCAGGGCUGGGAUUGUAGCUCGGCGGUAGAGUGCUUGCCUUGCAAGCAUGAGGUACUGGGUUCGAUCCUUGGCACCACAUAAAAAAACAAACAAAAAUAAAGAUAUUGUGUCCAUCUAUAACUAAAAAAAA
rnacentral:lncRNA from 1 species